rnacentral:tRNA from 1 species
GCGCCCGUGGCUCAAUUGGAUAGAGCAUCUGACUUCGGAUCAGAGGGUUGGGGGUUCGAGUCCUCUCGGGCGUGCCA